UCCGCAAGAACGUCGCCCAAGAGGGAGAGGAGGCGGAGCCCCCCGUCGCCCCGCCGGAGAGCGGGAACGGCGCCGGUGUUGGCGACGGCGCGGACGCCGACGCGGCGGAGCUGGCCGCGAAGCUGAUCGGGCCCGGCCGCACCAGCCCCCUGAUGGACAGAGACGAGCACAAACGAUUCGUGAGGUACUUGCCACCGGCCGGGAAUAAGCCGAGCGGCUGAGUCGUAGCCGGAUCAGAUCUGAGCUCGUCCAUCUCACCGGCGUGACUGUGCAUGUCCGCAGGGAGGUCCACGAAGAGGCGAGCGAGGCGAGGGAGAAGGCGUCUGAGCUCAAGCUGCGGAGGCGGGAGCAGGAGGCCGCCCGCCGGGACAGGCUCCGGCAAGCUUACCUCCGGAAGCA
rnacentral:lncRNA from 1 species